CUAAGUAUUUUAAUUGGUACAUUUUAGUCUGGAUGUGUGUACAUUCUCUGUUACCUCCCAUCUGGGUGUAAUUUUCCAUAGUCUCCCCUGAUGAUCUGCAUUUUCUCCUUCAAGUCCCGCCUCUAAACCCACUUCUGUGGAUCUUGCCUUCACAUUAUGCCAUUAAAAGCUCCAGCUGGAAGGAAGUGCCUCUGAAUGGAGUCCAAGAGAAGAAAUAAAGAAGAUGGAAACCAGAUGCCUUGAAGUCAUCCCUGUGUGAAAAACUUGAGGCAUACAGAAGUAAAGCAACUUUCCCUGAGUCACAUGGCCAGGAAGUGGCAGAACUAUGAUUCAAACCCAGAGAUGUGCUUUUAACUACUAUGCUAUGAAAUCAGAGAAAUCAAAGAAAUUGAAAAGCCUUUACUGAAAGAAGUGGUGUCACAUCCGCAAGCAGACUGACGGAAGAAGAGGACGACAAAGAGAAUGUGGAGAAAGGGCCAUCCUGGCGCAGCGUGGCCAAGACAUG